CCCACAAAGGCGCGGAUGGUCCCGGGGUUGGUACCGCAGCGCCCGGGACGUGCCCCAAGAGUUGAGCGGUUCCGCUUAACCGGGGAGAAUUUGGGCUCCGCGCCGGUGUCCGGCCCCAGCGGCGUAAACCCGGGGUAGAGAGUGGCGAGUGAAUGUAGCAAACGCUUGAAAAUAAUCUUAUAAUACGCAGACCUGGGGUUAUUGUGGCGGUGGCCUCGCUCUGUGUCUCUGCCGCACGUGCGGCUCGGCGGUAACGCGCCCCGGCACCGCUCCCAGCGCUGCACCCACGUGUCUGGUGAGAACCGGCCAUAAAACCUGUAAUGGGUUAGAGGUGGUGUUAAAUAGGUCUUAAAUAAAGCAAAAUUGCCUUUGUAAUAAGCAUGUACAACAGGUAGUUAGAAAUCCCCUGAAAAACUAGGUAAAAACGCUAUGAAGUAGCUGCUGAUACAAAAAGUCUGCAGGAUGGAGAUGCUGCAGUUCCUAAAAGUAUCGGCGGGUCUCAUUUCUGCAGCACCCACUCACAGCUACUCCAAAUUGAUGCUGAGCAAAUAUUGGGGCCAUCUGAUUGCAAUAGCAGGGUCAGAGUGCAGGUUUUGAACAGCCUCCAGGUUCCACAGCGUGGCUCCUCUCUGAAGUGACAUCCUUUACCUCCCCUCCACACCCCCCAAGAAAGGGAACAUCAAAGGGUACCCAAGCCCAGGGCCGGGGCUGAUGGCUUUGGCAGUGCUCCUCUGGUUUGCUUUUUGCAAUCAGUUAAACGUCCUAGGUGCUGUAUGAAAUACAUUGAGUAUGAUGCAAAAUGUAAAGCACAUUAAAAUUCAACUUUGCAGGCCUUGUCGUUCAUCCCUCUGCAGAGAUCCCUAUUUUAAUGAUCCAUGAUGUGGAUAAAGGCAGGAGAGGACAGAGUUCUAACAGAACUUAAGGGAAUGAGCUUCUCCUCCUGCUUCUGCCAAGAACUGUUUGCAGAAUCUUGAAAAAUCAUGUAAUCUUUCUCUAACAUCUCCCUAUUUGCAGAUGAUUGAACUUUAUUAUCGUAUGGAAGUGUUUUAUAGGCUAUAUAUUGAAGUGUGGAUUCCAGAUGUCUGUUGGAGCAAGUGCAUUAUUAAUCCAUAAUCCUGAGGAGAUAUAUACAUAUCUCGACCUUUCAGCCAAGAUUACUCGAACUUAAAAUUAAAUACACGUGUACAUCUGUAGGAUUGAGGCCAGAGUACAAGAUAAAUGGAUGUUUCUAGAGAAUCAUCAGCAAAAAACACAUCAUCCAUCCAUUCCACAAAAGUACACCAAAAGAGACAGAACAGAGACAUAAAAGAAAAUCAACUCAUUUUUCUAAAUAUUCCUUUUUGGACAUGAACAAUCUUAGACUCUUGGUGAAUCAAGCAAACCCAUCAAGGACUGUAUCCAUCACAUACACCUGGAAACACCAGAGCACAUUAUGGAAGUGUGGAAGUAAAUGUUUCAGAAAUACCACAAUUUCUAUCUAUAGAUCUCCGAAAAUAGAAAACACUUGUUUAACCUUGCUUUAAGACAGAAAUGAUUCCUAGUCAACUACAGGUCAUUAUACCAUGGAAAUAAUCUGUGUAUUAAUUACCAAAAAAAUGCCUCAAAAGAUCUAGGGAAAAAAAGGGAGGAGGUAGGUUGUGGAUGAUGAGAAUAUCCAUAUCCACAGCUGCAUUAGAUAGGAUAAAAGCAUUUAGAAGCACCAUUAAACCCCUGUGCUGCAGGACCCAGAUUCAAGUGCUAGCUGAUGAGCGCUGGGGGCUGGUCUCCCCUCUGAGCAGAUCAUGCCAGAGUUUUCCUGCAGUGCCCAGAGCUGGGCCCCAUCAGGCAGCACUUGGAAUGGGACAGCCCAGGGCUGAUACAAACCUGGCCUUCUUCACAGUCAAAACUAUGGGAAAACCACUCUUAUCAACACUGUGAUGCAGUAUGAAGACCACAGGAUCGAUCCUGUGGAAAGGGAGCGGUGCUUGUUGGGAAAAGGGCUGGGCUGAACUCUGAAAAAGAGCAAUAAAACUUUUUUUGCUGGAUAUUAACCGUAACUUAAAUUAUUUAAGAUCUAAUCACGCUAAGGCCUGGAUCCUAACCUUGUUAUUGUGAAACUAGGAGCUGUCAUUUAAUUAAUCUUGUACUGCAGAGCUCUUGCUAAAACCAGAACUGAAGUGCUGUGCUUGGGAAGGCUGGAUGAAGAAAUGGGUUCAUUUCACCCCACUGACCUCUAAAACAUAGUUACUUCCCAUUGGAUAGACUGAACUAAUCUUAAAACAUUUUUUAAAAUAUUUUUUAUCCUGUAAAACCUACCAUUCAAUACCUUACCUUGGGUUGAGAUGGAAGAUGAGAUAUUUAACUAUUUCACUGGUUUAUGAAGGAAGUUAAAAGACAAUUUUGUCUAGAUAUGACAAAUCCAAAUCUUUCCCCUGCAGAAAUUCCAUUAACUGAACUUUAAGCUCUGGCUCGGAUGAGAUUUGCAGAGAUGUUUGCCUUAACCUCCUCGGGAUUGCUGACAAACCUUUUAUUUGCCUUUUGCAACUUCAAAUGUGUCGUUUUUAAUGCAGAACUACCAUGAUUUCCACUUCGGGGUGCCCUGAUUCGGUUUGGGUACAGAAACAGGAACAAAUGGAAGUGCUGAUUUGCCUGUGAAGCUGGAGAUAGGUUUCAGAAAAGCUGCUCUGCCGGGGGCAGCACCGCGGCGUGCUCAGCACCGGAUCACAUUAAUCACAGGGUGCUCAGAGAACCUAUUCAGCCUCCUACAGAAAAUACAGAAGUACAUUUUUAGCAGGAAAAGCAAAGAACUAUGAGUACCCUUGUGACACUGUACAGAUUUCUCAGGGCUCUCUGGAAAGAAACUUGGACUUCUGCCACCUGCUCCGAUUGUGUUCAUGCAUAAAUGAUCCAGAGAAUGGGUUGACAUUACCUCUAAUUAGGGGUAAUAACAGCCUGCUGCUGAAAGGGCCCGUUCCCUUUCUCUUGCAUGUACAUCCCUCACUCCUCCUGCUUUCCUUCGUGGAGCCACGAGGCAAGUCAGUUCAGUGACCUGAUCCAGCAGAAAACUCAGCCAUUAAGGAAAAAAAAAUAUAUAUGUUUCUUUCAUUAGGUCAAUUCACUGAAGCUCAGUAGCCAUUUGAGUGCAAUCCACAGGCUGGAGAGGGGCGAGAUGAAGGGAGAGGGCAGGACUACACCCUUUUGGUGGCCUUCUGCAAUUGCACGGGUCACAGGUGACAGCAGAGCCCGGCUCUGAGCCCCAGCAUGGCUUCAGAAGGACUCACUGAUGCAUUUCUAGGAGUUAAUUAGGCAUGGCUGACUCUUAGUUUCAGCUAACUCUAGAGUGGCAGUGGAGAGGUGUGUAAUAAUGAGUAAUAGAGCUGGGAAUAAAAUCAUGUCUCCUGUGUAGUUUGUACCUCAGAGUGGAGCUGUGAAAUGGAACAGAAAGUGGGAAAAGGGUGCACUGCUACAGCCCUUGUGUUUUAGUUGCAGAGGAAGGCUUGACCCUUUACUUGUGUUUUCCAGUUUUAAAUUUCAUAUAGGAAAGGAAAUGCUCAUUUCAAAGCUACAGCACUGGGGCUUGAAGCUUAAAAUGACACAUGGGUUUCGUUUGGGAAAGGAGAUGAGAAUCAUUCAGGUUGGAAAAAACCUCCAAGAUCAUGAAGUCCAACCACAAACCUAACGGUGCCAAAAUCCACCCCUAAAUACCAACUUAUGCUGGACUUCCACUGCAAUGGAUCCUACACAGCAGAAUUGUCAGCCUAAAGGAGAAGGAAGGUGGCCUCACUCCACGGAGUCAGUGAUACAAGAGCAAAGGCUCCUUCUUCUACAGAGGUGUUUUAAAGCCUCUGUAGAUAAAAAUCUCACCCAAAGUUGUUUAUAACAAGAAGACGACUGUGUUUAUUUCCUGAGAAGGGAACGAGAUCAAAUCUAAGUGGUAAUAAAUGGUAGUUUCAGAAUGCCUCUGAAGACUUCAAAUCGUUAAGACUGUUCUUCUUGGAUGCUUCAACUACAUCUUUUUGAAAGAAUGCCUUGUAAAUGAAAAGUAUUCAGUGACCUUGUUGGAACAGAUUGUUCUUCCCUUUGCUGUGCUUAAGUAAAUGAACGACCUUGCAAAUCAGGAAGGUGUGAAGAGAGGAACAAAGCAAAAAUGUUAACGACAAUCUGCACUGUUUUAAAUGUCAAGGCAAUACAAAAUAACCAGUGCGUUUGGUCGCUAGUGGAACUAGCAUGGAUUCAGCUCUAUGUGACCAUCCAUGUGCCUGUAACUGGUCCAGUAUUAUUUCUAUUGUUAGAAUUGUAUUUUUCUUACUGGAAAUCGAUAGCAACAGGUUUGUUUCUGACUCCUGACUCACAAAUUUAGUGUGGCUGAAGCACUGUAUGGACUCACUUUUUCAGGAAUCAUCUUCAUAACUAUGCCAUAUGUUAGCUGGGGAGUUCUGCUCUACACCUCCUUUUACCCUCUGUAAAACACAGAAAAAAUAAAUUGGGGGUGAGAGGGUUUAUGUGAGCAUGGUAAUAAAACAUCUUUCAACACA